rnacentral:rRNA from 1 species
GUGUCAGCAGCCGCGGUAAUACGAAGGGGGCUAGCGUUGCUCGGAAUUACUGGGCGUAAAGGGCGCGUAGGCGGAUGUCUUAGUCAGAGGUGAAAGCCCAGGGCUCAACCUCGGAACUGCCUUUGAUACUGGACAUCUUGAGUACGGGAGAGGUGAGUGGAACUCCGAGUGUAGAGGUGAAAUUCGUAGAUAUUCGGAAGAACACCAGUGGCGAAGGCGACUCACUGGCCCGUUACUGACGCUGAGGCGCGAAAGCGUGGGGAGCAAACAGGAUUAGAUACCCCCGUAGUCC